rnacentral:snoRNA from 1 species
AAUGUGGUUAAUGAUGUACACUUUUUUCCCCGUCUUAUCGACUGUGGUGAGAAGAAAACAGCAAAUUUAGCCAGUUGUAUCUGAAACCACAUG